GGGGAAUUUUCCGCAAUGGGCGAAAGCCUGACGGAGCAAUACCGCGUGAGGGAAGACUGCCUGUGGGUUGUAAACCUCUUUUUUCAGGGAAGAAGUAUGACGGUACCUAGAAGAAUAAGCAUCGGCUAACUCCGUGCCAGCAGCCGCGGUAAUACGGGGGAUGCAAGCGUUAUCCGGAAUCACUGGGCGUAAAGCGUCUGUAGGUGGUUUAGCAAGUCUGCUGUUAAAUACUGGGGCUCAACCCUAGGCAAGCAGUGGAAACUGCUAGACUAGAGUAUGGUAUGGGUAGAGGGAAUUCCCAGUGUAGCGGUGAAAUGCGUAGAUAUUGGGAAGAACACCAGAAGCGAAAGCGCUCUACUGGGCCAUUACUGACACUCAGAGACGAAAGCUAGGGGAGCG
rnacentral:rRNA from 1 species